rnacentral:rRNA from 1 species
ACAUGCCUACAACAUAGAGUUAAUGCACCGGAUCCCAUUAGAACUCUGCAGUUAAGCGUGCUUAAGCUAGAGUAGUAUUGGGAUGGGUGACCACCCGGAAAGUCCUAGUGUUUUACAUGCC